AUUAAUCAAAUUAAGAUGAGAUCAUCCUAGAGUAGAGUGGGCCCUAAUCCAAUAUGCCUGUUGUCCUUAUCAAACGAGGAGACCCAGAGACAGACACCCAGAGAGGAGAAGGCCCUGUGAAGAUGGAGGCAGAGAUGGCAGCAAUGCAUCUACAAGCUAAGGAUUGCUGGAACGCCCAGGAGCUAGGGGAGAGGCAUGGCACAGACACUCUUCCAGAACCUUCAGAAAGAGCAUAUCCCUGCUGACCUUGGUUUCCAACUUCCAGUUCUCAUCAGAACGCUGACAGAAUGAACGUCUGCUGUUCUAGACCACCCAGUUUGUGUAAUUUGUUAUGGCAGACACAGAAAACCGGUAUCCUCCCGAAUGAACUACUUGCAACUGAAUCCUGGGUUCAGAAUCUGCGUCUUUGCAACAACACGAAUGCAACUGGAGGUCAUUAUGGGGCAAAAACUGGCUGGGGAGCUGGGCGAUGGCUUGGAGGCAGGAGAGAGAGCAGUACCAGUCAUUCAGUAUCCAGCAAUGAUUUGUUAAUGGUCUCCCCUGUGCCUGGCACUGCACUGGGCGCCAGAGUUACAACAGGAACGGAGGUGAAGCUUCUGGUCUCCUGAAUUUACAUUCUCAUCACAGGAGAGCCACAUCCAGCCUCAUCACUCGUAACAGGCUUCCAUCAGACAAUGGUAAGGAUCAUAAA